AUUGAACGCUGGCGGAAUGCUUUACACAUGCAAGUCGAGCGGCAGCGCGGCCUUCGGGCUGGCGGCGAGCGGCGAACGGGUGAGUAAUGCAUCGGAACAUGCCCAGUCGUGGGGGAUAACACUUCGAAAGAAGUGCUAAUACCGCAUACGUCCUGAGGGGGAAAGCGGGGGAUCGCAAGACCUCGCGCGAUUGGAGUGGCCGAUGUCAGAUUAGCUAGUUGGUGGGGUAAAGGCCUACCAAGGCGACGAUCUAUAGCUGGUCUGAGAGGAUGAUCAGCCACACUGGGACUGAGACACGGCCCAGACUCCUACGGGAGGCAGCAGUGGGGAAUUUUGGACAAUGGGGGCAACCCUGAUCCAGCCAUUCCGCGUGAGUGAAGAAGGCCUUCGGGUUGUAAAGCUCUUUCGGCAGGAACGAAACGGUGGGCUCUAACAUAGUCCGCUAAUGACGGUACCUGAAGAAGAAGCACCGGCUAACUACGUG
rnacentral:rRNA from 1 species